rnacentral:piRNA from 1 species
UAUUUCUUCUCAAGUUUCAAA